rnacentral:rRNA from 1 species
UGGGGAAUAUUGCACAAUGGGGGAAACCCUGAUGCAGCGACGCCGCGUGAGUGAUGAAGUAUUUCGGUAUGUAAAACUCUAUCAGCAGGGAAGAUAAUGACGGUACCUGACUAAGAAGCACCGGCUAAAUACGUGCCAGCAGCCGCGGUAAUACGUAUGGUGCAAGCGUUAUCCGGAUUUACUGGGUGUAAAGGGUGCGUAGGUGGUAUGGCAAGUCAGAAGUGAAAGGCUGGGGCUCAACCCCGGGACUGCUUUUGAAACUGUCAAACUAGAGUACAGGAGAGGAAAGCGGAAUUCCUAGUGUAGCGGUGAAAUGCGUAGAUAUUAGGAGGAACACCAGUGGCGAAGGCGGCUUUCUGGACUGAAACUGACACUGAGGCACGAAAGCGUGGGGAGCAAACAGG